GGCAAAUUCUUAUCUACCCAUUCUGUUAAAAUGGGCUGAGUUACCCAUUUGAGUUGGCUUAAUCUAAAUCAUCCAAUCUAUUUUCUAUUAUUUAUGUAAUGAAAAUACAAACUUUGCAAAACUAGUAAGCUAAAAUCUUGUAAUUGCAAAACCACCCACACAAAAUUAACACCGGUGAUUUUCGUUUCAUGAUUUCAUCUACUUCAGGUUUGCAAAUAAAUUAUUUUAUUUUUUCAUCUCUAAUUCUUCUUUUCUUUUUAUGGGUUCACAAAGUUCACAAAUUUUGCUUUAAAUCUCAUGUUUUGAUGUUUAAAACUUAUAAUUUUGUGUUAUACAUUGAAUUCUGGUUGAAACCCACAAAAAAUC
rnacentral:lncRNA from 1 species